GCGUGGAGCUGCUCAUUCCCAGCCUUGUCCAGAGUGAACCAAGAGAAAAGGACAAGGGAGACGAGAAAGAAGGACAUGAUUCCGUUACUUGGUACAGUAACUGCCUGCGUGGCUGAGAAAGGUUUGGAAAUGUUGUUCAAUGAAUUAAGAAGAAUCUCAUCCUGGGCUUAGCUACAGGGACAAAAGGCAGAAGCCUUUCUGUGCAGCUCAGUGCCAGUCCUUGCCCACACUACCUGGAAAUAAACCCUGCCAAGCAAGAAGGAAAUCCAGAGGAAGGAAGAAAACAGAAAGUGCAUGGGCCCCAGAAUCCAUGUUGAAGAAGGAAUACCAGAACCUGUCCCACAGAGUUGAAACUCUGGAAAAAGAUUUACAGGGAGGUCUGGAGACCAUAAAGCAUGAGUUUAAGGAUCUCAGAGCAGAGCUGCAGAAGAACCAAGAAAGGAAGGAAAAAGAAAGUGCAUGGGCCCAGGAAUUCAUGUUGAAGAAGGAAUACCAGAACAUGUCCCACAGAGUUGAAACUCUGGAAAAAGAUUUCAA